CAAAAAUCUGACAUGAUACAGAAAAACCAAAAUCAGGUUUUGAACUAGAAGAGAAAAUACUUCAGCUAUCACCUUACAGUCAUCAAACAUCGUUCCAAAUGUUUUAAAAUGGACCAUAGUGUAUAUAUUGACGUUAACAAUAUUACUACUUUCACCUACUGAUUAUUUGCUGUAACUGAAACACACUUUUUUCUCAUUCAAUGUUACAGAAUCUGUAAGCAAUUGGCGAUAGAGAGCAAUGGCUGUCAUAUCAUGGAAAAAUAUAACUAAUCGUGACGAAAUUCGAAGAAUUGUGAACAACACAGCAUCUCAACAAACCAUUGCAACAGCAACUGCAGUAGUUUGAAGAUACCAGCAGCACAGCAUUUACUCACUGCGCAAACAGGUUAACCAACUUCUUCACACUGCUCUUCCAUCAAGAAAACACACUUCAAAGACGGAUUUACACCAGAUGUCAGAAGAACAGGACCUCAUAUCAUGUCAAUGUCAGAGCAUAUUACCACUAGGCGACACAUCACGUCAGUUGUCUUUAGCACAGCCCUG